UUGAACGCUGGCGGCAGGCCUAACACAUGCAAGUCGAGCGGAUGAAGGGAGCUUGCUCCUGGAUUCAGCGGCGGACGGGUGAGUAAUGCCUAGGAAUCUGCCUGGUAGUGGGGGAUAACGUCCGGAAACGGGCGCUAAUACCGCAUACGUCCUGAGGGAGAAAGUGGGGGAUCUUCGGACCUCACGCUAUCAGAUGAGCCUAGGUCGGAUUAGCUAGUUGGUGGGGUAAAGGCCUACCAAGGCGACGAUCCGUAACUGGUCUGAGAGGAUGAUCAGUCACACUGGAACUGUGACACGGUCCAGACACCUACGGGAGGCAGCAGUGGGGAAUAUUGGACAAUGGGCGAAAGCCUGAUCCAGCCAUGCCGCGUGUGUGAAGAAGGUCUUCGGAUUGUAAAGCACUUUAAGUUGGGAGGAAGGGCAGUAAGUUAAUACCUUGCUGUUUUGACGUUACCAACAGAAUAAGCACCGGCUAACUUCGUG
rnacentral:rRNA from 1 species